GUACUUAGAGCAAUGCCUAGCAUAAUAAACACUAGCUGUCAUUACUUUCCACAUUAUCUCAGAUUUAAACAAGAUACUAAUACUAGAGGGAAAUAAUUAAAGUAUAUUUUGCAGUGUUGUCUGUUUGUACAGAAGAAGUAACUGGGGCUGGGAGAAAGAUUCAAUGUAUUUGAAGAAUAGAUGAAAAAGAGCCAGGACAGCAGUUCCCUUCUCAUUUGGGAUCGUUUUUGCCUGUGGUCUGUGGUAACCCAAAGUCACAUGGAUGAAGCCUCUGCUUCAUGUGAGUGUCCU